rnacentral:tRNA from 1 species
GGGGUUGUGGCUAGCGGUAGAGCACUUGCCUGGCAUGUGUGAGGCCCUGAGUUCGAUCCUCAGCACCACA